rnacentral:tRNA from 1 species
GGAGGGUAUAGCUCAGUGGUAGAGUGCGUGCUUAGAAUGCACAAGGCCCUGGGUUCAAUCCCCAGUACCUCCA